rnacentral:rRNA from 1 species
GACGAACCGUGCGAACGUUAUUCGGAAUCACUGGGCUUAAAGGGCGCGUAGGCGGGCCACCAAGUCCGGGGUGAAAUCCUCCAGCUCAACUGGAGAACUGCCUUAGAUACUGUCGGCCUCGAGGGAGGUAGGGGCGUGCGGAACUGUAGGUGGAGCGGUGAAAUGCGUUGAUAUCUACAGGAACUCCGGUGGCGAAAGCGGCGCGCUGGACCUCUUCUGACGCUGAGGCGCGAAAGCUAGGGGAGCAAACGGG